rnacentral:lncRNA from 1 species
CGAGAAUCCUCUGUUCAUUUAUUCAUUUAGGGAAUCAAUCAGUUUCAGAGUAAGCUUAAAGCCACUUACGUACUUUUUCUUUUUUUAAAAUCCAGUACUGGGGACUGAACUUAGAACCUAACUCUUCCAAGGCAGGCACAGCGCCACUGAGUUCCAUCCCUGGUCCAACCAUUUUGGUACUUCAGAAGGCAGUAGAGAAAAUUCAGGAUAAACAAGACAGAAGAGCAAGUAAAGAGAGUGCUAGAAUCCGAGACCACGCAGUCACCUCCAGCUCAUCGUAUUCACACUGAGCAGCCUGGAGAAGCUGCACGUCUGCUGGAAGCGUUCCUCAGGCCUUCUUCAUCUUCUCCUGGACCUUCUUCCUGCAUUCUCUGGGCCCUUGCCAUCACACUAAGGAUAACCAUCCCAAUGCUUCCGGUACUGCUGCUGUCGUAGGUACAGCAGCUCGAAGAGACUGAUUCAACUCCCUCUGCCUACACAGUUCUACAUAACACAGAAGAACAUUGGCAGCGAAGAGGAAGGAAAAUUCCACAGCAUGGGCACAGCAUUUAGUAUGACAGUGUGAGAAGACAGACAACUCAGUUUAAAAACUAGACUUCCCCUUUGCUACUUUUAUUGUAGAGUCCCGGCCA